rnacentral:rRNA from 1 species
ACUCCUACGGGAGGCAGCAGUGGGGAAUUUUGGACAAUGGGCGCAAGCCUGACGGAGCAAGACCGCGUGAGGGAGGAAGGCUCUUGGGUUGUAAACCUCUUUUAUCAGGGAAGAAGAUCUGACGGUACCUGAUGAAUCAGCAUCGGCUAACUCCGUGCCAGCAGCCGCGGUAAUACGGAGGAUGCAAGCGUUAUCCGGAUUUAUUGGGCGUAAAGCGUCCGCAGGUGGUUUUUCAAGUCUGCUGUUAAAGCGCAGAGCUUAACUCUGUAACGGCGGUGGAAACUGAGAGACUAGAGUAUGGUAGGGGUUGCGGGAAUUCCCAGUGUAGCGGUGAAAUGCGUAGAUAUUGGGAAGAACACCAGCGGCGAAAGCGCGCAACUGGGCCAUUACUGACACUCAUGGACGAAAGCUAGGGGAGCGAAAGGGAUUAGAUACCCCUGUAGUCCUAGCUGUAAACGAUGGGUACUAGGUGUUGACCGUAUCGACCCGGUCAGUGCCGUAGCUAACGCGUUAAGUACCCCGCCUGGGGAGUAUGCACGCAAGUGUGAAACUCAAAGGAAUUGACGGGGGCCCGCACAAGCGGUGGAGUAUGUGGUUUAAUUCGAUGCAACGCGAAGAACCUUACCAGGGCUUGACAUGUCGCGAAUCUC